UACGAAGGGGGCUAGCGUUGCUCGGAAUCACUGGGCGUAAAGCCGCACGUAGGCGGUUUCUUAAGUCAGGGGUGAAAUCCUGGAGCUCAACUCCAGAACUGCCUUUGAUACUGGGAGACUUCGAGUCCGGGAGAGGUGAGUGGAACUGCGAGUGUAGAGGUGAAAUUCGUAGAUAUUCGCAAGAACACCAGUGGCGAAGGCGGCUCACUGGCCCGGUACUGACGCUGAGGUGCGAAAGCGUGGGGAGCAAACAGG
rnacentral:rRNA from 1 species